rnacentral:rRNA from 1 species
UACCAGCACCCCGAGUGGUCGGGACGUUUAUUGGGCCUAAAGCAUCCGUAGCCGGUUCUACAAGUCUUCCGUUAAAUCCACCUGCUUAACAGAUGGGCUGCGGAAGAUACUAUGGAGCUAGGAGGCGGGAGGGGCAAGCGGUACUCGAUGGGUAGUGGUAAAAUCCGUUGAUCCAUUGAAGACCACCAGUGGCGAAGGCGGCUUGCCAGAACGCGCUCGACGGUGAGGGAUGAAAGCUGGGGGAGCAAACCGG